CUCGGAUCGCUGGAUUCAGAGUCCAGAGUGCUAACCAUUACACCAUGGAACCAUGUUGAAGCCACAGCCAAGAAUUAUUAAGCACCCUGGUAAGGACCCUCACUGACCUGCGUAGGGGCAGCAAAGCACAGUCGCACAGCAGAGGGUUGUCUCGCAGGUCCACCCCUUCCAGGCCUGCUUUGACUCCCACCAUGACAGCGUAGAUCCGAAGAGGUCACUUCCUGCAGCAGCUCCUCAGACAGAUGUGGGGGUUCAGUGCAGGCGCCCAGCAGCUUCACACCUUUGGCGGUCGCCCACUCUUUGAGAGGCUUUAAGUAACAGUUACAGUAGAUUGGGUUGCCUGGAAGAAGAAUUGUUUUUCAACUGUUUGCUGAAUUUUAAUAACAUCUUUCUGAUCACUCAGACCAAAAAAAAA